rnacentral:ncRNA from 2 species
ACUACAUACAUUGAAUCAGGUAAAGCUGAACAAAAAAGCUUUUUAAAAGGGCAAGCUGGUGCAAGUCCAGCGCGGUCCCGCCACUGUAAGUGAAAUAGAUCUAUUUCACAAGCCAGAAAACCUGCCUGAUUUAGAGCACCGGU